rnacentral:rRNA from 2 species
AUAGUUGUCAGCUAAGUGGCGCACGGGUGAGUAAUGUAUAGGUAAUAUGCCUCUUACUAAGGGAUAACAAAUGGAAACGUUUGCUAAUACCUUAUACUCCUUAUUAACAGAAGUUAAUAAGGGAAAGAUUUAUUGGUAAGAGAUUAGCCUGUAUUGUAUCAGUUAGUUGGUGGGGUAAUGGCUUACCAAGACUAUGACACAUAACUGGUUUGAGAGGAUGAUCAGUCACACUGGAACUGAGACACGGUCCAGACUCCUACGGGAGGCAGCAGUGGGGAAUAUUGCACAAUGGACGAAAGUCUGAUGCAGCAACGCCGCGUGGAGGAUGACACAUUUCGGUGCGUAAACUCCUUUUAUAUAAGAAGAUAAUGACGGUAUUAUAUGAAUAAGCACCGGCUAACUCCGUGCCAGCAGCCGCGGUAAUACGGGGGGUGCAAGCGUUACUCGGAAUCACUGGGCGUAAAGAGCAUGUAGGCGGAUUAAUAAGUUUGAAGUGAAAUCCUAUAGCUUAACUAUAGAACUGCUUUGAAAACUGUUGAUCUAGAAUGUGGGAGAGGUAGAUGGAAUUUCUGGUGUAGGGGUAAAAUCCGUAGAGAUCAGAAGGAAUACCGAUUGCGAAGGCGAUUUACUGGAACACAAUUGACGCUGAGAUGCGAAAGCGUGGGGAGCAAACAGGAUUAGAUACCCUGGUAGUCCACGCCCUAAACGAUGUACACUAGUUGUUGUGAGACUAGAUCUUGCAGUAAUGCAGUUAACACAUUAAGUGUACCGCCUGGGGAGUACGGUCGCAAGAUUAAAACUCAAAGGAAUAGACGGGGACCCGCACAAGCGGUGGAGCAUGUGGUUUAAUUCGACGAUACACGAAGAACCUUACCUGGACUUGACAUAGUAAGAACUUUCUAGAGAUAGAUUGGUGUCUGCUUGCAGAAACUUAUAUACA